CUUGACUGGAGUUCCAUGGGAGCACAGAGCUAAACAGACGACGAUGUCUGAGACUCUCUAAUCCUUGGCACCUAGCUGUACCCAUGCUAGAUGUAUAGGAUGGGAGCCAACUUACUGCCUGCAAGCUAUGGUUUGGCUUUUCUUCUCCCCAGGAGAGGUUGGAAAGACUGUCACUGUUUGCUCUGAGUAGUCUGGAGUCUACCUUCUGGAAGGAGGCUCCUUCUCACCUUUUCCUGCUAGACCGUAUAGAAGUGGGAGCAGAGAUAGUGAACUUCAAGAGCUAAUUUCUUUCUUGGCCAGUUUCUUGCUCUGGAAACUUGAAGCCCACGCUUCCUACCCCACACAGUAUGGUUAGUUCCAGUGUCUUUGGCAGUUUGUACUUCCUUUUAUGAUGAGGAAAAGGCUGAGUUCCUUUGCUUUCCUCAGUAUCAUGUGUGUUAAGGAACCACCCUCCUAUAAAUUGGGGUUUUGGAUAUCCACAAAGGCUUGCCUGUUAAACCUUGGUCCCAUAGGCUAUGCUAAGGGAAGAUGUGAAACCUUUAGAAUGUAGACAUCCACCUGCAUCUACUCUCCAGUGCUAGGACUAAAGGGCCUGGUUUCAUGUUGGAUGGCAAUGAGCAGGGAAGGCUUGGGAAAAUGCUGGUAUUGGACCAUUUGUAGACCACUUGGAAAUUGAUGAAGAAUCUUCAAACCGACACCAGAAAAAGAAGCUGGAUAUGGAAGAAAUUCCACAAAUUAAACUUCUCAUCAUGCUUGGGCCAGUGAGCUGAGUCUGAGGCUCCACUCUGCUUUUUCCUGUUCGCUGUGCAAAUCAGGGGUCUUCUGAAUCUCAGACCCUUCAUCUCUGCAAGAGGAGGUGGGAGGGUUAUUGUGAGAAUCAAAUGUGCUUAACACACUUAGUAUCUGAAACACCAGGAGCUUAUGCAAGAAGCAUGUGUGGGAGAAGACCUGGGAGCUCAGGACUCCUGGACAGUUGGCAUCCUCUGGGAAUGUCAAGUGAGAACCAGUGAAAUGAUCUCUCUUCACAGUUACUGCUUAGCUACCCAGGCAUCCUGUGACUUUCCUGGCAUGGAGUCAAAGCUGUAAGCUGGCUACUUGGAAGUAGACAACAGCAGAGAUGGGAUGCAGGACUGGUGGAGAAUUAGAUUUUCUGACUUCUCCAUCCUCAACAGGCCUUGGAAGUCAGGUUGUCCAGACGGCAUCUGUAAUUGAACUUCAUCAUAUUUAUUCAGCUUUUUAUUUGAAAAUAUCGUACUUCUUAAAAUGAUAAGAGAAGCCUGUAUGAGCCAGCUGGCCACAUUAGGGAAUUAUAUUUACCUUCCAUUCCUUGUA